ensembl:lncRNA
AACAAGCCCUCCAGGUGGUUCCAAUGUUUGAUUCAGAAUGUUUGAUUCUCAGGCUUGAAAACCACUGCCCUCACUGCUCCUUCACAGCCUCCCUUAUAGCCAGCACUCUGUGUGGACAGCCUUCUAGGGAAGGUGUGAGGUCCCUGCUCCUGGACAGGGGAAGGGGUUCUGAGGCGUAGGACCCUCUGGCCAGGGAGGCCUCCUGUAAGGUCACUGGAACUGACCCUGUCGCAAUAAGAGCGAAUACUCUGUCUUCUCCAAACUCAGGGUUUCUCUUGGUGGUCAGAGGAGGCUGCUUGCUGCCUGCCGGGCCUCACCUGGGGGCUCCUGAUUAAAGCCCCAGCAGGACUUGGUUCUGUGACAGGGGCUUCCUGGGGCUCAGCUUGGCUAGAAUCUGCCUGGAGAAUGAGAGGGCCUAGAAGUUGCCCAGAAGCUUCUGGACUCAAAAGGCAAAAGGGAGUAUGUUGGUGGUCACCUAUUGCACCUGCCACUCAUGGCGGAGAAACGCCCUGCCUCCAAGCACAGCUCAACUCUGACCUCCGGGCCCCGGACCGAAGCCUUUGGCGGGAGGCUGAGCCAGCAUCUGUGGAGUUCGUCCUGUCCAGGUGUCCACCAGCCUGGCACGUGGUAUUUAGCUCCUCCCCCUCCCCCUUUUUUUUAACAGAAGAAGAAACUGAAGUUAAGGGGCGUUAAGCGACUCGCUGUAGAUGACAGCCAAGGAGAUAGAAGUGGGGGGAGGUCAAGGAGGAAGCGGCAGCUCCGGGAGGCUCAAUCCCCGCGGACCCUGGGGCCUGCGGAGCGGAGCUGUCAAGGGAGGGGCACCUGGUCCCUGCUCGCGCUGCCAGGUGGGGUCGGGGAGCGGAUGGAGAAUCGCUCCGGCAGGCAGGUUCGCUAGGCUGGUGUCGGGCGGCCAGGCUGCCCUCGGCCGGCCAGACCGCGUUUCCCUGAGCGGCCACCAGGUGGCGCCGCCCGACCGCGCGGGCCCGCUCUCCGGGGCCGGCAGGUGGUGCGUCCUCUGCUCGGCUCCCGGCCGCUCCACCUCCCCGGGCCUCCGAGGACCGGGCCUCUGGGAGCUGAUGUCUCCCGCCGUGGUCCUCCGGGAAGAGGAGCAUCAGACCACGCUCUUCCUCUGUGACUCUCUGAGAGGGGACCUCUGACUUCUGUCCUCGCCGCGGUCCCCGAGGAGGAGGCUCCUCGGACCUUCCUUCCCAGGGGUGGACACUCGGGAAGGGGCACCUCGGACCCACGUCCAUGGAGCAGCCCUCUCAAGAGGGCGCUUCGGACUCUUGUCCUCACCAUGGCCCUGCGAGAGGGGGCGCCUUGGACCACUGUCCCCUAUCCUUCAGUGCCUGAAAUGUUACCACUUGAGCCUCUUGACAGGUGGUGUCCUGUCAAUAACUCCCCCUUUCGCUCGCCUUCACCCUGGGCGCUGCCUUCUCCGAUCCAUCGGCCUCACUCCGAAGGGCAGGGCUUUUCGGCAGAGGGUCUGGAGCUUGCAAGAAAGACCUAGUAGCUUCUACAAUGUGCGUAUGCCCUGUCCCACCUGGGAUCUGCUGGGAUGGAGGCUCCGAAAGUGACACCCAAAUGGCUGUGUUGUUGGGACUGUGGGUUUGCUUUCUGUUUCUAAUGCUGCUGCCUGCUGGGUGAUUCUCACCGCGUGGGGUUGAGAACCAGGGACUAAAGGGAGAAUGCCCGAACAGGCAAGCUUUGACAGGAAGGGGCUUGGGGAGGCCCUAGGGACAGAGGGGCUGGGAGUCAGAUGACCUGGCCGAGUGCCAGUCCUGGCUCUGACCCUGCCCUGCUGAGUGACCCAGACAAGUGAGGGAUUGCUUCUGGGUCUCUCUGGAGAGGAGAGGGUUGGCCCAGGCAGCCCCUCUGGUCCUGCUGACCUCCAGGGCUUGAGCAGCUCCUGCUUUGAUGGGUGGGAAGCAGAGGUGACCUGAUCCCCUACAGCACUGGCCUGUGGGCUACCGGGUGCAUUGCUCUGACCUGGGCCUCAGCUUCGGAGGGUAACUGGCAAAGGGGAAGAAGGGAAAGAAACCAAUGUUUAGUGAGCAACUAGUAUGUGCCAGGCUCUCUGCCCACAUUACACCUUUAAACCUUUCUAGCUACAUCUGCAGGGUUCAUGGUGAUACACCCCCUGGCCCUAGCAUGGUGCUGGAGCAUAGUAGGUACUCAGUAAACAUCUGUUGGGUGAACAAAUCCCUGUGAUUGGUCUAUGGAGAAGAUAAAUGUUGGUGCUUGGGUCAUAGCUUUUGCCUCUGAAUGCUUGUGCCAGACCACUGGGGUGGGCCCUGCUCAGAACUGCUGGAACCUUCCCAAACACUGCCCCCUCCCCAAUUUGUGUGGGCCAGGCCAAACCCAGGAAGAUGGUGCUGGAAGCAAAGGAUCAGAGAUGUCCACUGACUCUGAUCAAGGUCAGUGUGUCACGGGCAGAGGUAAUUUACCUGGGAUGGACGAAGCGUGAGCUCAGGGUCCCUGGCUCACCUGGGACCUCCCAUGGCCAGGAGAAGCUAUGGCAGUGCGGUCACACAGUUGUGUGUUUUUGUAUUUGUCAGCAUUGUAAUUUGUUAUUUUUUCUCAUUCCAAAUAUUCAUGUUCACACCUCGUUUUGAAUGGGUAAUUUUGUAUUUUUUUCUUAAAGAGGGCCCCUUAAGUUGAAUAGGCAUCCACAAAACCUGAUUCCCCCCUGGCCAAGGGGUGCUAAACAGAAGGAAAUGCUGUCCAGAGGGGCCGCCCCUUGAGCUGGCCUCCUGCUGACUUUCUGAUGUCCUCCCCAGGCAGAGGUCCAGCCUUGCUUCCAUCAGGCGCUGAUCCCCUCCUGCCACCUCAGCCUCUGCACACACGGUGAAUAAGCUCAGGUUGGAGUCACAACGAACAAGAUCCACGCCCUGGUUUCUGCCAGGUGCUAGGACUGCCCCUGUCCAGAGAUGCCCAGACAGAAGGUGACUGACAGAAAGGGUCAAGAGCAAGGCAGUCCGAUGCCAGCUCAGAAACUUCCCCCGGAGCACCCCUCAAUGCCGUUCUGACCGGGAAGCCGCGUUGUGGCUAAGUGGUUAAGACUUUUGCCUGUGGAGACAGGCUGCCUGGCCAGCCUCGAGUCUUGGCAGUUUCUUUACCUAUCAAGUCAACACCAAAAUAGUACCACAAAAGGGUUGCCGUGAGGAACAAACAAGAGAAUCCGUGGGAAGUGCUUUAGACCCAUGCCCAGCUUUGUAAGCUCUUAAAGAAAUCCUCGCUGAACCCAUUCCCAUGAUUAGGAGGCAAACUGGCACUUUUCAGCUUUCUCCAGCACCCCCUCGUUGCCUGUGGUUGGGGGAAGGUGGUAGAUCGCGAGGUGAGAGGCUGGGACCUGGUGUGUUCAGCAUGAGCUUGCAGGACACUCUCAGCGAGCCACUGCUGAUGCUGGGGUGGUCCGGAUCUUGUGGAUCCAGGCAGUAUGGGCAGCUGGUGGGGCACCAGGUGACAUCCCAGCAUACACGGGAUGGGAGGCGUUCUUCCCCAGCUCCCUUCUUGGUACCCUGGGGUCCCUGGUAUUCUAUGUCCUUCUUUCCCAGCCUGCGCUUGUCACUUUCUUGGCUUCUGCAACACCACGCUUGCCUGAUGCUCUCCUUCUCUCAUUGUCUUUUCUGGGCCCUCCUCACUGUCUCGUGUACUUAGGGCUUACACCCUGGACCCUUCGUUUCUCUCCUGUCUCCACUCCCUCCCUUUGGCCUCAUCCACUCUGGUAGAUAUAAGCUCCAUCUCCAGUCCUAGCUGCACCCCAGAACUCCAGACCCACAACUGCUUCCCUAGCCCCUCAACUUGACAUGUCCAGGCUGGAGCUCUAAUCUCACCCUCUGGUCCUGCUCCGCCCCCUGCAGGGAGUGCAGCCCAGCCUUCCAGUUGUUCAGGCCAGAAGCCUGGGAUUGACUUGAGCUGUCUUGACUCGGUUUUCUUCUGUCUCCCACUCUGACCUGAGAGGCACAUGUACAGCUUUUCAGAAGCCCCCCAGUUUUGAGUGUACCUCCCAGAGAUUCUGAUGUGACUGUUUGCUGGUGGGGCCUGGCAUUUGUUUAUUUUAGAAGCUCCCAGGUGACUCAGGUUGCUUAUUCAUUCAUUCACUCAUUCACAAGCCUUUGUUCUGUGACCACUGUGUGCCAGGCACUAGAAGUCUAGCCCUUAAGGCGAGCACUUCUGAAGUAUAGGCACAUAGUGGGUACUCGUGUUUGCUGGGUGAAGGUGCAUCCGAUGGAGGUGGUGACCCUGACCCCUCUCCCCCUAACAGAGAACCAAUAAGAUGGCUGGGUGACAGAGGGGCUGUGCAAGUCCUCAGACUCCCCACCCACCAUAGCCCCUGUGUCCUCCCCCCACCCAGCUCCCUGGAAGCCAGGCGCACACCGCCAUGGCUGGCAGGGGGCUGUUCAGGGUCUGGCGGCCUGGGAAGCUCGGUUGUUGCCAUGGUGAUGAUGUGCGUCUGUUCAGCAGAGAACUUUGAAGUUGACUUGGAUGGGGGACAACAAAGGCGCCUCCAUCUUGGAUGCAAAUUGUGGCUUCCUUUCAUCCUCCUGGGCCCUUUCCUGCUCUGCUUUUGUUCUUGCCAUUUAGAUCAGAGAAUAAAACCCUUUCAAAUGUUGUAAAUUCAAAACAUAGGCAAUUAAGGGGCCUCUCAGAGGUUCAAGGCCCCCUUAGUCUCUUUAAGAAGCAGUUGCAUGUGUAGAAAAACAGAGAUGAUUGUGAAAAGGGAGUCAGCAUCUCCUGGAUGUUACAAUCCAACCAACAUCUACUGAGCGCCUACUGUGUGCCAGGACCCGGGAGGCACUGGGGAUCCGGUGUGGUACAGGACCCACCAAAUCUCUGUUCCUCAGAGCUUACUUUCAGGACCAUGGCUCCGUGCCUCAGUUUCCCCAGUGUACAACAAGGAGGCUGAAGUAGCCCAGGGGUUUUCAUAUGGUGUUUUCUGAAACCCAGGCGAAGGUCCCAGUCGCUUCCCCCCGUUUUGGCCUGAAGAGCUUUGCUUUGCUCUGUUUUAUGUACUCUGUUCCCUAUAAUAUUGUUUUUGAGGAAAGAAGUCCAAAACAAAAAAAAACCCCAAAAAACAAAGGAUGGGAUGGAAAUGAAAACCACUGGUCAAGGAUUCCCUAAGGCUUUUUCCAGAAGGAAUGUUCUCUCAUGUUCACCACUAAGGAAAGUGCAGAUUCCCCGGGCUGUUUGGCCACAUAGAGACUCACACACAGAAGGCAAGCUGCCUUUAGGAUGUACACCCACCUGGAUGGCUGACAUCCUGCCUUCAUUUUAAAUAAAGUAAGAAGCCUCAGACAGGGUUGGAAAGAGCAAAUCCUGUUACGUUUCUCACCCAGUAGACCCAGGGCUUCACUUCUAAGGCAUCUGUCCUUCUCAGACUCUGGACCCGCCCUCGCCCCUUCCUCAGGGAGCUUUGCCUGGCCGGCAGCCUGCAGGGCCCACGCCCUCCUCCGAGCUCCCCUGGCCCACCCUGGCCUCCACACACCCACCAGCGAGGACCUGGGGCCUGUCUUGUCUCCCCAGCGGGACCACGUGUUCUCACAGCGCGAUGUGUCCUGAAGAAAUGUAAUUCGAUGAGCAACUGGGCGCCCCGCUGGUACUGCUUGUUCUCUGGGCCCUGCCCCUCACCCUGUACCUUGCCUGGGUUGUCUCCUGAAGUGCAGGAGAGCCUGGUGGGCAGUGCGCAGAGCCACCUGCCUUCCCUCCCUCAGCAGCACCCUCCCCUCCUCCUUCCCAACAGGUGACUGAGAGACACCAGGCCUGAUUACAGCGGCGACAUGAGUCUUUCCCAAAAGCCAUUUAUACUGUCUGGGUGGGGAACCGGGAAGUAGGUCGGGGACCAUGUUUUAUUGACUAUCUCUUGUCUUGAGGAGCCACAGGAAAGCUUUAUUAACACAACCAGACAAUCUCAUUUAGGGCCAUUGCACGGCCUGGGCCCACUCGAGGUUCAAGCCGGUAUUUUACCCCGGGCUGAGUCUUCUCGUAUUGAUUUCUUUAGAAGGCAUGUUACCUUUCUCCCUGAAGGCCAAGCUGAUGCAAAGAGCAAAGAGAGAUUCUGGACUGGAGAACCACUUCUAUCAAAAAACCCUGAGCUUGGCGAAGUCGCCCCCCCUGUGUGGGGCUGUUGAAAUUGUGCUCUGUGCUUGAUCAUCGUGGGAUCCAUCCAGAGAUCAGAGGCUCCCAGGGGGCUGAGGCCGUGUCUCCCACUUCGCUCUGCACGGUUCCAGGCGCACAGUGGGCCUGCAGUAGAGACAGGAGUAGGGACUGUCUGCUGCCGGGCAUGUAGGACAGCAGCCUCUUGGCGUCAACAGCUUUGGGGAACCCCUUCCUUCUGGUGAUGUGGAGGUUAGUGUCUCCAGCAUCCCAGGGCUGCCACCCAGCCCCUCCCUCACCCUCUGGGGAACGUGAGCUGUGGGGAGCAGAGGGGAUGGAGCAUGUCAAGAUCUGCCACAGGCUGGUGAGUGGGGCACACAGUUUACAACCCACCUUCUCAUCCGGCUGCCACAGCCCAGGGAUAAGCCCCGGAAGUGGGAACUGCUACUGACACAUUUGGAGGAAAUGGCAUCUUUGCUUGUGAAUCUCAAUACAAGUGGUUUUCAUCCAGGGACACUUGGCCCCUGAGAAAUCCUCCAGCCACCAGCGAGAGGGAAGGUUUCCGUGGAGCACACACCCACACGGCCUUUUCACACAGCGUUUCCCUGAGGCUUUCGUAACUCCCCCACUCUAGAGGGGAGUGGUCCUCAUUCUCCAGAAGAGGGAGGAAGCCCUGCAGAAGGUGAUGACUGCCCACAGAUGGGCUUCCAGAAGGCGGACGGCCCGGGCGGGGCCCUAAGCAAGGCAGAUGGCGCCUGCCCCCCUAGGUGGUGGACAUCAGUCUCCCUGGCCUUCAGGGUGGCCCUCUGCCCGAGGAUCCUGUGGCAUGGCUUCCCUUGGCAGUGACUCCACGUCACUCAGGCCUGAGGCCUAACAGUUCCCCCUUCCCACUCCCCAUUCCAGUCCUCCUCGAGCCUGGGACUUUGUUCUGAGCCCUCUUCCUCCCUCCUUGCCUCCGACAAGCCCACACUGCCGCAUGUGCCCCGACAGGCGCAUUAACUUCCCAUCCCCCACUUGGGGCCUCCCACUCACCCCAGAAUACCGUAGCCAUGUGGACUUGGAUAUGGGAUUUCACCCCAUACCUGUGGUAUAUUGAUGAGCGCCCCGCCCCCACUGCACCUACCUCCCUGAGGGCAGGACAACUGGUUUGCUCAGCACUAUGUCCUCAGAGCCUAGCACAAGGCUAGGCACAUAGUGGGUGCUCAGUAAAAAUGAAUGAAUGAACAUCAGACAACACAAGAGCGGCCUUAAAUGUGUGGCCAGACUUCAGGCCACAGGAAGGCCUCCCAGAGGAGGCCACACCCCUGGUGUUAGGCUGGAAGGCUGAGCCAGGGUCUGGACCUGGGAGGACCCACUGCUCACCAAAGGAAGGACCCAGGGAUGUGAGACGGGAAGAGUCAGAACAGCCCUUGCCGGGUACCAGACUCUCUGCUAAGUUCCUUACAGCCUUUAUUCAUCGCAAACCAUCCACAGAAGGUGCUAUUACUAUCCCCAUUUUACUGGUGAGUAAACCAAGGGGCUGAGAGGCGAAGGGACUUGCCUGAGGUCAUAGAGGCAGUAAGUGGCAGAGCCAGAAAGUGAUCCAGGUCAGACAGUUUGUCUCCAGAGCUUCGCUCUAACUUGGCCAUGCAUCCAUCACAUGUAGGGCUCUUUCUUUGGGGGACCAUUGGCUUUGGCUGCAGGUCACACCGUGAAGGGGCUGAAGACCUGUUUCCUGAUGGUGGACCAUGAAUGUGCCUGUUAUUGCCAUGUCGUUAUUGUCUCCUUUCAGAAAUCAGGAAAAACACUCUUGCUGGCCACAAUUACAUGCGCCUUUGGGCCCUUGCCCAUCAGCUGUGUCCUGGGGACUGUCAGCCCCAUGUGGGCAGGGCCCUGGCCUGCCCCAUGCACUCUGCUACCCCCAGCAACACAAAGCUCCAUUCCGAAUACCGCAAAGACCAGUGGGGAUUGACAGCGAGUGAGGGGGUCAGUGGAUGGACACUCAGUAAGAGGAGAUAUCAAGAGUAGGGGAAUUCUUGCUAAACCCCCUUAACAGGAUCCUUGCUGAAGGCAGACCAGUGAUCAGAUGUCAAGAGUGAGGGGUGAGGAAUUUGAUCAGAUAUCGAGGGGGAUCAGGUAUGGAGGGUGGGGGACCCUUACUAAACUGACCUGGAAGCUUCUUGCUACAGUAGCUGAACUACAGAGGCUGAAGACAGGCCUGAGAGCGAGGCCUCAAUGGAAAGAGGGCUCAGAGGCGGCCGUCUGAAGUCGGGCCAACGGGAGUCUGCACUGCCCAUCGGGCUGAGGGGCUGCUCUAAACAACCUUAUCCGCUUUCUUCCAUUUCCUCAAAGGUUUUCUUCCUUUAGUCUCUCCUAGAGAAUCUUCUCGAGAAAGAUUGGCAGCUGCUUAAUUGGAGCAGAGUUCAAUGGACAGAAAACAAAAACACAGAUUUCUCCCUGAGGAAAACAACAAGACUUUGGAUUUUUGAAAGGAACUGAAGUUAUUUCCUAGGGAGUCGAGAACCUUCAAGGCUAUGCUGACCAAGGCGCUGAGACCAUGGACAGCUGGCCAGGACACGCCCACGCUGGGACCCCCCCCCCGCCCCCCCCACCGCUGUGAGGCUCCCAGCACCUUUCUGGACUUUGUGCCAUUUGAGACAGGAGGGUGGGAGCUGUCAUCAGUCACGAGCUCAGAGGACGAGGGGAGGCGACCAUGGUUUUAUAGCAGAUGGGUGAGAGAGAGGACUCCAGCCAGUGCCCUCCUCCCUCGACCCUCCCAACCACUGUGUUCUGCAGAGAACAGCCGGGAAAGGCGGGCAAACGGGCUUUUGAAAUGGGCUCUGCCUGCAGUGCAAAAUGUCCUGCUCUCUGGCCCCACUCUGAGGGAUUUCCUGAAGGUGGUACUUACGCAGGUGUGAAGAGGUGGGUCAUAGGGAUGGCUCACCGCGGCCUGAUUGAUCAUGGACCAACAACGCAGAUGUCCAUCAAAAGGGAGCAAUGAGGUCAACAAUUGUGCGAUCAGACACUGGACUCCCUCGAACACUGAAAGUGAAACUUUCCACAAUCAACGUAUGUUACUUUUGUAGUAAGGCAAAAGCACAAUAAAAAGAAUUAUUGGAAUGGUUUGCCACAAAAGGACAUUAUUAUCAAAAUUAAACUCACUGGGCAAUAAUUAUGCAAAGCCUUGUGCUAAGCUCGGGGUCGGGGGAGAUGGGGUCAUGACAUUUGAUGACAGUCAGUCUUGUCCUCUGGGGGUUCACAGAGAGAGCCGGCAGGGCGGGGCGCUGACAGACAACUGACUGUGUCAGGCCACAGGAGCCCUGGAGGGGCAGUG